rnacentral:tRNA from 1 species
GUAGCUCAGUCAGUAAAGAAUCUGUCUGCAAUGCAGGAGACCCAGGUUCGAUUCCUGGC